CUGUUGACAAUUUCAAGAUGUUUUUUUUUUUUGAUUAUAUAACUUUUUUGUUAUCUUUAGGCCAAUUUGCACAGACUACAGCUGUAUCUACCUCUUGUGCUACACCUGGGUGUUAUAACAUCAUAACCACAUCUACGGCCAACUCUAAGAUCACCUUAUUUUGUUUGGCAGUGUUCUGGAAUCAAGUUAUGGCAAUAUUUUAUGUAUAAAAU
rnacentral:lncRNA from 1 species